AUUGAACGCUGGCGGCAGGCCUAACACAUGCAAGUCGAGCGAGCGGCGGACGGGGGAGUAAUGUCUGGGAAACUGCCUGAUGGAGGGGGAAAACUACUGGAAAAGGUAGGCAAUCCCGCAUCCCACCAGAUGUGCCCAGAUGGGAUGAGCUAGUAGGUGGGGUAACGGCUCACCGAGGCGACGAGCCAUAGCUGGUCUGAGAGGAUGACCGGCACCCCGGGAACGGGGAAAAGGUCCAGCCGCCGACGGGAGGCAGCAGUGGGGAAUAUUGCCCAAUGAGCGCAAGCCUGAUGCGGCCAUGCGGCGGGUGUGAAGAGGUCCUUCGGGUUGUAAAGCACUUUCAGCGGGGAGGCGUUACCCGCAGAAGAAGCACCGGCUAACUCCGUGCCAGCAGCCGCGGUAAUAC
rnacentral:rRNA from 1 species